CAGUAGCCGCGGUAAUACGAAGGGGGCUAGCGUUGCUCGGAAUCACUGGGCGUAAAGCGCACGUAGGCGGAUUCUUAAGUCAGGGGUGAAAUCCCGAGGCUCAACCUCGGAACUGCCUUUGAUACUGGGGAUCUUGAGUUCGGGAGAGGUGAGUGGAACUGCGAGUGUAGAGGUGAAAUUCGUAGAUAUUCGCAAGAACACCAGUGGCGAAGGCGGCUCACUGGCCCGAUACUGACGCUGAGGAGCGAAAGCGUGGGAGCGAACAGGAUUAGAUACCCCAGUAGUCCCUGUCUCUUAUACA
rnacentral:rRNA from 1 species